UAUAUUCCUGUAUGUUGUUUACACAUUUUCAUCACAUGUCUUUUACCCCAGCGAUUUAAUUUACGCAAAACAUCAUAAAGAUUGAGAAGAUUUGUUGGUUUACCGGAUGAGCCCUUGCCCAGUGGACAUAUUCCGUCUCUGGCAGAUAGUAUGCCUGCAAAAAAUGAGUGAUGAUUCCAGUUUUUAGUGUGUAUCAAUCAUCAGCACAUUUGAUAUGUGUUUCUGGUUUGCUUACCUUGAUAAAUGUUUCGACUAUCUGUAACUUUGGCUUAACCUUUGUUGGCACAAAGUGCUGUAGCCCGUUUAUUAGGACCUACAAGAAAAGAUAGAUAACGUCCGCCAGACCAGAAUCAUUCCCAUGCAUAUUAACUAUACCGCAGAGGCAUGUUCAAACGACGCAUCUGACUCAAUAUAUCAAUUUCUUAUUCACACUGUCGUAUCAAUACAGAGUACAAGAAGAGAACAGAGGGGAGAGGUACCUGAAUAUCUAAUGACAUGAGAGCACGUCCUUCAUCAGUACAUCUUUUUAUUCGAGAGAACCCUUCGACCAGCAUCUCCGCAAAUAUUUCAACUCCAUAUUGCAGUAGGAGAUUCUGGACCUAUUUAUGAGAAAAAAGAGUUCAAGAUGAAUACAGCUUUCCCAAUAAUUUGAGAAGAAAUAUACUCAUUAAUCUAAUAUCUUAAUCAAACUGAGUUCGUGCUGUCUGUUGAUAAUUUAUGAAGCAGAAUGUGUUAGGGUUUGAGUGUG